CACGUAGGGCGCAAGCGUUGUCCGGAAUUAUUGGGCGUAAAGAGCGUGUAGGCGGUCCGAUAAGUCCGCUCUGAAAGCCCGGGGCUCAACCCCGGGAGGCGGGCGGAUACUAUCGGGCUAGAGUCCGGAAGAGGCAAGUGGAAUUCCUGGUGUAGCGGUGAAAUGCGCAGAUAUCAGGAGGAACACCGAUGGCGAAGGCAGCUUGCUGGGACGGUACUGACGCUGAGAACGCGAAAGCGUGGGGAGCAAACAGG
rnacentral:rRNA from 1 species